GAUGAACGCUGGCGGCGUGCCUAAUACAUGCAAGUCGAGCGAACAGACGAGGAGCUUGCUCCUCUGACGUUAGCGGCGGACGGGUGAGUAACACGUGGAUAACCUACCUAUAAGACUGGGAUAACUUCGGGAAACCGGAGCUAAUACCGGAUAAUAUAUUGAACCGCAUGGUCCAAUAGUGAAAGACGGUUUUGCUGUCACUUAUAGAUGGAUCCGCGCCGCAUUAGCUAGUUGGUAAGGUAACGGCUUACCAAGGCAACGAUGCGUAGCCGACCUGAGAGGGUGAUCGGCCACACUGGAACUGAGACACGGUCCAGACUCCUACGGGAGGCCGCAGUAGGGAAUCUUCCGCAAAGGGCGAAAGCUUGACGGAGCAACGCCGCGUGAGUGAUGAAGGUCUUCGGAUCGUAAAACUCUGUUAUUAGGGAAGAACAAAUGUGUAAGUAACUAUGCACGUCUUGACGGUACCUAAUCAGAAAGCCACGGCUAACUACGUG
rnacentral:rRNA from 1 species